rnacentral:rRNA from 1 species
UAACACCAGCAGCCCAAGUGGUGGCCGCGAUUAUUGGGCCUAAAGCGCUCGUAGCCGGAUCAGCAAGUCCUUUGUGAAAUCGGGCCGCCCAACGGUUCGGCGUGCAAAGGAUACUGUUGGUCUUGAGACCGGGAGAGGUCGGAGGUACUCUUGGGGUAGCGGUGAAAUGCUGUAAUCCUGGGGGGGCCACCAGUGGCGAAGGCGUCCGACCAGAACGGAUCUGACGGUGAGGGGCGAAGGCUAGGGGAGCGAACGGGAUUAGAUACCCCGGUAGUCCUAGCUGUAAAGCAUGCGGGCCAGGUGUCUAGCGCUCCUCGAGGGCGCUAUGUGCCGGAGGGAAGCCGUUAGGCCCGUCGCCUGGGAAGUACGGCCGCAAGGCUG